UACGGAGGGGGCUAGCGUUGUUCGGAAUUACUGGGCGUAAAGCGCACGUAGGCGGCUUUGUAAGUUAGAGGUGAAAGCCCAGGGCUUAACCCUGGAAUUGCCUUUAAGACUGCAUCGCUAGAAUCGUGGAGAGGUGAGUGGAAUUCCGAGUGUAGAGGUGAAAUUCGUAGAUAUUCGGAAGAACACCAGUGGCGAAGGCGGCACUCGCUGGACAAGUAUUGACGCUGAGGUGCGAAAGCGUGGGGAGCAAACAGG
rnacentral:rRNA from 1 species